rnacentral:tRNA from 1 species
GCCCGGCUGGCUCAGUCGGUUAAGCAUCUGACUUCGGCUCAGGUCACGAUCUCACGGUUCGUGAGUUCGAGCCCCUCGUUGGGCU